rnacentral:rRNA from 1 species
UGGGGAAUAUUGCACAAUGGGCGAAAGCCUGAUGCAGCAACGCCGCGUGAGUGAUGAAGGCCUUCGGGUUGUAAAGCUCUGUCUUUUGGGACGAUAAUGACGGUACCAAAGGAGGAAGCCACGGCUAACUACGUGCCAGCAGCCGCGGUAAUACGUAGGUGGCAAGCGUUGUCCGGAUUUACUGGGCGUAAAGGAUGCGUAGGCGGAUUUUUAAGUGAGAUGUGAAAUACCCGGGCUUAACUUGGGUGCUGCAUUUCAAACUGGGAAUCUAGAGUGCGGGAGAGGAGAAUGGAAUUCCUAGUGUAGCGGUGAAAUGCGUAGAGAUUAGGAAGAACACCAGUGGCGAAGGCGAUUCUCUGGACCGUAACUGACGCUGAGGCAUGAAAGCGUGGGUAGCAAACAGGAUUAGAUACCCUGGUAGUCCACGCCGUAAACGAUGAGUACUAGGUGUAGGAGGUAUCGACCCCUUCUGUGCCGCAGUUAACACAAUAAGUACUCCGCCUGGGAAGUACGAUCGCAAGAUUAAAAACUUAAAGGAAUUGACGGGGUCAUAGCUGUUUCCU